rnacentral:rRNA from 1 species
UACGUAGGGUGCGAGCGUUGUCCGGAAUUAUUGGGCGUAAAGGGCUUUGAGGCGGUCUGUCGCGUCUGCUGUGAAAAUCCGGGGCUCAACCCCGGACUUGCAGUGGGUACGGGCAGACUAGAGUGUGGUAGGGGAGACUGGAAUUCCUGGUGUAGCGGUGAAAUGCGCAGAUAUCAGGAGGAACACCGAUGGCGAAGGCAGCACUCUGGGCCGGUACUGACGCUGAGGAGCGAAAGCAUGGGGAGCGAACAGG